GAUGAACGCUGGCGGCGUGCUUAACACAUGCAAGUCGAACGAUGAAGCCCAGCUUGCUGGGUGGAUUAGUGGCGAACGGGUGAGUAACACGUGAGUAACCUGCCCUUCACUCUGGGAUAAGCCUGGGAAACUGGGUCUAAUACCGGAUAGGAGCGUCCACCGCAUGGUGGGUGUUGGAAAGAUUUAUCGGUUUUGGAUGGACUCGCGGCCUAUCCGUUUUUUGGGGAGGUAAUGGCUCCCCAAGGCGACGACGGGUACCCGGCCUGAGAGGGUGACCGGCCACAUUGGGACUGAGAAACGGCCAAGACUCCUACGGGAGGCAGCAGUGGGGAAUAUUGCACAAUGGGCGCAAGCCUGAUGCAGCGACGCCGCGUGGGGGAUGACGGCCUUCGGUUGGUAAACCUCUUUCGGUAGGGAAGAAGCGAAAGUGACGGUACCUGCAGAAGAAGCACCGGCUAACUACGUG
rnacentral:rRNA from 1 species